UACGAGAGGCCCAAACAUUAUUCGGAAUUACUGGGCUUAAAGAGUUCGUAGGCGGCAUGGUAAGUAGGGUGUGAAAUCCCUCGGCUCAACCGAGGAAUUGCGCUCUAAACUACCGUGCUCGAGGAAGCUAGAGGUGAGCGGAACUGAUGGUGGAGCGGUGAAAUGCGUUGAUAUCAUCAGGAACACCGGAGGCGAAGGCGGCUCACUGGGGCUUUUCUGACGCUGAGGAACGAAAGCCAGGGUAGCGAACGGGG
rnacentral:rRNA from 1 species